GAUGAACGCUGGCGGCGUGCCUAAUACAUGCAAGUCGAGCGAACAGAUGAGGAGCUUGCUCCUCUGACGUUAGCGGCGGACGGGUGAGUAACACGUGGAUAACCUACCUAUAAGACUGGGAUAACUUCGGGAAACCGGAGCUAAUACCGGAUAAUAUAUUGAACCGCAUGGUUCAAUAGUGAAAGACGGUUUUGCUGUCACUUAUAGAUGGAUCCGCGCCGCAUUAGCUAGUUGGUAAGGUAACGGCUUACCAAGGCAACGAUGCGUAGCCGACCUGAGAGGGUGAUCGGCCACACUGGAACUGAGACACGGUCCAGACUCCUACAGGAGGCAGCAGUAGGGAAUCUUCCGCAAAGGGCGAAAGCCUGACGGAGCAACGCCGCGUGAGUGAUGAAGGUCUUCGGAUCGUAAAACUCUGUUAUUAGGGAAGAACAAAUGUGUAAGUAACUAUGCACGUCUUGACGGUACCUAAUCAGAAAGCCACGGCUAACUACGUG
rnacentral:rRNA from 1 species